UGAAGAAUGCAUGGAUGGUAAGCCAGC
rnacentral:piRNA from 1 species